GACGAACGCUGGCGGCGUGCUUAACACAUGCAAGUCGAACGAUGAAGGAGAGCUUGCUCUCCGGAUUAGUGGCGAACGGGUGAGUAACACGUGACUAACCUGCCCCUUUCUCUGGGAUAACGCUCCGAAAGGAGUGCUAAUACCGGAUACGAACUCUGAACACAUGUUCGGAGUUGGAAGGUUUUUCGGAAAGGGAUGGAGUCGCGGCCUAUCAGCUUGUUGGUGAGGUAAUGGCUCACCAAGGCGACGACGGGUAGCCGGCCUGAGAGGGCGACCGGCCACACUGGGACUGAGACACGGCCCAGACCCCUACGGGAGGCAGCAGUGGGGAAUAUUGCACAAUGGGCGAAAGCCUGAUGCAGCGACGCCGCGUGAGGGAUGAAGGUCUUCGGAUUGUAAACCUCUUUCAGUAGGGACGAAGCGAAAGUGACGGUACCUAAAGAAGAAGCACCGGCUAACUACGUGCCAGCCGCCGCCGUAA
rnacentral:rRNA from 1 species